rfam:Sporosarcina psychrophila strain DSM 6497, complete genome.
UUCUUAUCAAGAGAAGCUGAGGGAUAUGGCCCUGUGAAGCUUCAGCAACCUCUGACUUAGUCAGGAAGGUGCUACCUCCAACAAGAUUUUUUCUUGAGAGAUAAGAA